rnacentral:rRNA from 1 species
GACGUAGGAUGCAAGCGUUGUCCGGAUUUAUUGGGCGUAAAGAGUUCGUAGGUGGCUUGUUAAGUCUGAUGUUAAAGACUGGGGCUCAACCUCGGAAAUGCAUUGGAUACUGGCAGACUUGAGUGUGGUAGAGGCAAUCGGAAUUCCAGGUGUAGCGGUGAAAUGCGUAGAUAUCUGGAAGAACACCGGUGGCGCAGGCGGGUCUCUGGGCCGAUACUGACGCUGAGGAGCGAAAGCGUGGGGAGCGAACAGG